rfam:Lactobacillus parafarraginis F0439 genomic scaffold Scfld1857, whole genome shotgun sequence.
GUUUGUCUUCAGGGCAGGGUGUAAUUCCCGACCGGCGGUGAUAGUCCGCGACACGUGAGUAAUCACGCUGAACUGGUGUAAUUCCAGUACCGACAGUAAAGUCUGGUAUGUAGAAGAUUAAA